AUAGCGUAUAUUAAAGUUGUUGCAGUUAAAACGUCCGUAGUCAAAUUUUAGUCUUUAGAUGAGGUGGCCUGGUCUUCAUUGAUCAAGCUCGCUUUUAUCGAGACUUUUUUUCUGGUUAUGCUAUGAAUGACUUCGGUUGUUUAUAGUCUCUAGCCAGAUGAUUACCAUGAGCAAAUCAGAGUGUUUAAAGCAGGCUUUCAAGCUUGAAUGUGUUAGCAUGGAAUAAUGAAAUAUGACUUUAGUCCCUAUUUCGUUGGUUCAGGAACUUAAGUAAUGAUGAAUAGAAACGGUUGGGGACAUUUGUAUUUGGUCGCUAGAGGUGAAAUUCUUGGAUUGAC
rnacentral:rRNA from 1 species